AAAAAGCUAAAACUUUCACUGGUUUCUUCAUCCUGAAGGUAAUCAAAGAAAUGUCCCACAUCUACAGAUAAUCCUGAGGGAUAGUAAUUAUCAUGUAUAACUGAAUAGAUAUUUACUUUUCUAAAGCAGAAAGUUUCAAACAUUAUUUUAUUGCAAAUCUGUAUCAGUAAAUUUACGGAUAGACUAUAGUAUAUGCAUAUUUAUUUUAUGCAUUAUUCACAUGCAAUCAUAUCUAUCUCUAUAUUAACAUUUUACAGAUGUUUUUAAAUUUUUAGAUACAAGUAACUAGAUACUAAAAGACCAGAAUUUUCUCUCUAUGCCAGAUUUCAUCUUGUGCACCCAAUACUACUUGUAUGCCAAUUAUUUAGGAUGGGGCAAUUUUUAAUUUUACAGACUAGUUCAUAAAUUGGUAUGCCUGCUCUUCACUAAAUCCCAGUAGAUUUCUCACCUAAUCAUUGAAAUAAUCAAAAGCAUCCUUGAUGUCUAUUUUUCCCCUAGGUUAGCAGUACUGCACCUAGAUGAGAUGCUAACACUGAUAUAGAGAUCCACAUAAGAACAGCUAAGGUGUGGCAAUCUGAUCACAUUUGCUUGUAAUUAUAUUCCCAGCUAUAGGUAUACUCAGUUGGUGGGGUUGUUCCCAUUGAUAAAAUGUAUGUUCUCCUUCAUUUACAGAGUCCUCAAUGAACUAGACAUUUCAUGGUAUAAUGGCACUAACAUAAUGCACAAAUUCAAAACGAGUUGAAAAAAGAAUUGGGUGCAGGGAACACACAAUGUUAAUUGUAAAAAUUGUAAAAUAUGGUAAGAGUCUCAGUAAAACGAGGAAAACUUUCAUUUUCCAACUCAUUGUUAUAGCAUUAUGCGGAACAAACUUCAUUUCCCGUGUUGCAAGUAAGUUAA
rnacentral:lncRNA from 10 species